rnacentral:tRNA from 1 species
GGGCUCAUAGCUCAGCUGGUUAGAGCGUUCGGUUUACAUCCGAGAGGUCCAUGGUUCGAGUCCAUGUGGGCCCACCA